rnacentral:rRNA from 1 species
CCACGGGGUGCUGCAGUGGGGGAUAUUGCACAAUGGGCGAAAGCCUGAUGCAGCAACGCCGCGUGAAGGAAGACGGUUUUCGGAUUGUAAACUUCUAUCAGCAGGGAAGAAAAUGACUGUACCUGACUAAGAAGCCCCGGCUAACUACGUGCCAGCAGCCGCGGUAAUACGUAGGGGGCAAGCGUUAUCCGGAAUUACUGGGUGUAAAGGGUACGUAGGCGGCUGAUCAAGUCAGAUGUGAAAGCCCGGAGCUCAACUCCGGGACUGCAUUUGAAACUGGUCGGCUAGAGUGCAGGAGAGGAAAGUGGAAUUCCUAGUGUAGCGGUGAAAUGCGUAGAUAUUAGGAAGAACACCAGUGGCGAAGGCGGCUUUCUGGACUGUAACUGACGCUGAGGUACGAAAGCGUGGGAAGCGAACAGGAUUAGAUACCCUAGUAGUC